CCUACGGGGGGCAGCAGUAGGGAAUCUUCCACAAUGGACGAAAGUCUGAUGGAGCAACGCCGCGUGAGUGAAGAAGGGUUUCGGCUCGUAAAGCUCUGUUGGUAGUGAAGAAAGAUAGAGGUAGUAACUGGCCUGUAUUUGACGGUAAUUACUUAGACAGUCACGGCUAACUACGUGCCAGCAGCCGCGGUAAUACGUAGGUGGCAAGCGUUGUCCGGAUUUAUUGGGCGUAAAGCGAGUGCAGGCGGUAUAAUAAGUCUGAUGUUAAAGCCUUCGGUUCAACCGGAGAAUUGCAUCAGAAACUGUUGAACGUGAGUGCAGAAGAGGAGAGUGGAACUCCAUGUGUAGCGGUGGAAUGCGUAGAUAUAUGGAAGAACACCAGUGGCGAAGGCGGCUCUCUGGUCUGCAACUGACGCUGAGGCUCGAAAGCAUGGGUAGCGAACAGGAUUAGAUACCCCAGUAGUC
rnacentral:rRNA from 1 species